rnacentral:lncRNA from 1 species
CAGCAAAUUAAUUGAGCUAUAGAUCCGAUCAAAUCAGGAUCAUUUCUUCCUUACCAAUUAGGUCAUCUCAUAACCAAUCAGACUUGAUCUGAUUGAAUCCAAUUCAAUCAGACUUGAUUCAGACUUUAAUGCUUAAUCAAAUUGAGUUAAUUAGUGAUCUAAUCACUAAUUAAUCCUUCAUUAAUGAUAGAGUCUCAGUUCAGUGGGACUCUUCACCAGAGUCUCCAUCUAGUGAGACUCUUCACCAGAGUCCCAGUCUAGUGAGACUCUUCAGAUUAACCAUCUGAUCGGAG